rnacentral:rRNA from 1 species
GAGUUUGAUCCUGGCUCAGAUUGAACGCUGGCGGCAGGCCUAACACAUGCAAGUCGAGCGGUAGAGAGAAGCUUGCUUCUCUUGAGAGCGGCGGACGGGUGAGUAAUGCCUAGGAAUCUGCCUGGUAGUGGGGGAUAACGCUCGGAAACGGACGCUAAUACCGCAUACGUCCUACGGGAGAAAGCAGGGGACCUUCGGGCCUUGCGCUAUCAGAUGAGCCUAGGUCGGACUAGCUAGUUGGUGAGGUAAUGGCUCACCAAGGCGACGAUCCGUAACUGGUCUGAGAGGAUGAUUAGUCACACUGGAACUGAGACACGGUCCAGACUCCUACGGGAGGCAGCAGUGGGGAAUAUUGGACAAUGGGCGAAAGCCUGAUCCAGCCAUGCCGCGUGUGUGAAGAAGGUCUUCGGAUUGUAAAGCACUUUAAGUUGGGAGGAAGGGCAGUAAAUUAAUACUUUGCUGUUUUGACGUUACCGACAGAAUAAGCACCGGCUAACUCUGUGCCAGCAGCCG